GUGGCUGUAGCUCAAUUGGUUAGAGCGUCUGACUGUGGCUCAGAAGGUUUGCGGGAUCG
rnacentral:tRNA from 1 species